rnacentral:rRNA from 1 species
UACGUAGGGGGCAAGCGUUGUCCGGAAUCAUUGGGCGUAAAGAGCGUGUAGGCGGCCAGGUAGGUCUGCUGUGAAAACUCGAGGCUUAACCUCGAGCUGUCGGCGGAAACCAUCUGGCUAGAGUCCGGAAGAGGAGAAUGGAAUUCCCGGUGUAGCGGUGAAAUGCGCAGAUAUCUGGAGGAACACCGGUGGCGAAGGCGGCAUCCUGGACCGGUAUUGACGCUGAGGCGCGAAAGCUAGGGGAGCAAACGGG